rnacentral:rRNA from 1 species
UACAGAGGGGGCAAGCGUUGUUCGGAAUUACUGGGCGUAAAGGGCGCGUAGGCGGCCUUCUAAGUCGAACGUGAAAUCCCCGGGCUCAACCCGGGAACUGCGUCCGAUACUGGAAGGCUUGAAUCCGGGAGAGGGAUGCGGAAUUCCAGGUGUAGCGGUGAAAUGCGUGAGAUAUCUGGAGGAACACCGGUGGCGAAGGCGGCAUCCUGGACCGGUAUUGACGCUGAGGCGCGAAAGCCAGGGGAGCAAACGGG